rnacentral:RNase_P_RNA from 1 species
AGGGUCGGCAAGACGGUCGCGUCAUCUCUCAGUAGACGAUUCAACGAAUCGACUGCGGGAGAUGCCGAGGAACGUCCGGGCUCCAGAGAGCAGGGCGGUGGGUAACACCCACCCGGGGCAACCCGAGAGAACAGUGCCACAGAGAACAGACCGCCCCAGGCGCCGCUCGCGGUGUGUGGGGUAAGGGUGAAACGGUGGUGUAAGAGACCACCAGCGGCCAUGGUGACAUGGCGGGCUCGGUAAACCUCGCCCGGAGCAAGGUCAGACAGAAGGCGACACGGCUGCUCGUCGUGCCUUCGGGUAGACCGCUGGAGGCGUGCGGCAACGUACGUCGUAGAUAGAUGGCCGUCCAUGGGCGCGCGUGCUCCGGCACGCACGCCCAAGACAGAACCCGGCGUAGCAGCCGGCCCUUUCG